AAUGAUUGGAUUAUGGUAAUCUAAUUGAUUGUCUCUAUAGUAGAGAUAAUAUGGUGGUGUUAACUGUUUAGAACACAACGAUGCUUAAAACCCAAAAGGUUGCAAGGUAGUGACUAAUCCCAACUAAAGUUGUGAUACCUCUAAAAACAUAAAUUACAAGUUAGUCAUAGAUGGAUACUUAGGAUCGUUAGAUCCGGAUCCAAUGUCUUCUUGUUAAAAUUGUAUAGAGGCAAAAUGUUUGAAUCUUCAUUCUUUUGGAAAGAAGAAAGAAUCACAAAGUUGUUGAGGUUAAUUCACUUAGAUGUUAGUGGCACUUGUCCACAACAUAAUACUACUCAUGUUGUAUGACAUUCACCGAAGAUCACCCGGUUAGACUAUAGUUUAUUUUAAAUAAACACAAGUCCGAAUACUUUGCAAAAGGUUUCAAAGAAUUCAAGAAAUGUAAGUUGAUGAGUAAGACGUCUAAAGUAUUUACAUCCUUAGAUUUGAUCCAAGGAAUGGUAACACUUUAGAAUAGUUUUCUUGAAAGAUAUCAAGGAAAAUAGCAUCAUAAGAUAAUGUAUUUCUCCAUUUGGAGAAGAACAAACUCAAAUAAGAUUUAGUUCGUUAGAUGUUAUCUAUUACCCAUAUAUAGGAUAUA
rnacentral:lncRNA from 1 species